CGCGUAGGUGGCCUGUUAAGUCGAACGUGAAAUCCCUGGGCUCAACCCGGGAACUGCGUCCGAGACUGGCAGGCUCGAAUCCGGGAGAGGGAUGUGGAAUUCCAGGUGUAGCGGUGAAAUGCGUAGAUAUCUGGAGGAACACCGGUGGCGAAGGCGGCAUCCUGGACCGGUAUCGACGCUGAGGCGCGAAAGCCAGGGGGAGUAAACG
rnacentral:rRNA from 1 species